GGGUCAGUAGGUUGGUCGUGCCACCGGUACGUACUGGUCCCACUGAUUCCUCCUUCCUGAGGAACCGUAAUGCCAUUAAUUUGGUGUUGCGGGGAAACAGGACUGUUACUUUGAAAAAAUUAGAGUGUUUAAAGCAAGCUAACGCUUGAAUACAUUAGCAUGGAAUAAUGAAAUAGGACGAUCGAUCCUAUUUUGUUGGUUUCUAGGAUUGACGUA
rnacentral:rRNA from 1 species